rfam:Oryza barthii chromosome 12, whole genome shotgun sequence.
CCUCUUGAUGAAGAAGAUCUGGUCUCCUACAUCCUUGCCGGCCUCGACUACGACUACAACCCACUUGUUUCCUCUGUGGCAACACGAGUGGAACCUCUGACAGUGGCUGAACUCUAUGCGUUGCUCCUGAGCUUUGAGC